rfam:Actinotalea fermentans ATCC 43279 = JCM 9966 = DSM 3133 contig605, whole genome shotgun sequence.
GCCCCCGUAGCUCAGUGGAUAGAGCGUCGGACUUCUAAUCCGUUGGUCGCAGGUUCGAAUCCUGCCGGGGGCG